GGUAGCAUAAUCAUUAGUCUCCUAAUUAGAGGCUUGUAUGAAUGGUCGGACAAGAUGGGAACUGUCUCGGUGCGAAAAAUAAAAUUUAACAUUUAAGUAAAAAGGCUUAAAUAAUAUGGGGGGACGAUAAGACCCUAUAAAGCUUUAUGAUAAGGCCUUUUUGUAAAGAAUUUCUAUUGUGAAAUUACUAGGGGGUUUAUAUCAUUUUACUGGGGCGGUAAAAGUAUAUAAUUGAAUAACUGCUUUUAUUAUUGAAAACAAUUAUAAUUGAAAUACAAAAUGAUCCAUUAUUAAUGAUUAUAAAAACAAGUUACUUUAGGGAUAACAGCGUAAUAUUUCUUGAGAGUCCUUAUCGAAAGAAAAGUUUGCGACCUCGAUGUUGAAUUAAGGGUAGCGUUAAGGCGCAGCAGUCUUAAAAGCAGAUCUGUUCGAUCUUUAAAACUUUACAUGAUUUG
rnacentral:rRNA from 1 species